GAAACGCAAAUGCAACACAUCUCCACCUGCGCGACGUUGUAAAGGGCCGUUGCUUGGCCAACACAGUCCAUUUGCAGGGUGGGCUGUUUUUCAACUUGAGGGGGCCGACGAAGAUACCACAACUGCACCUCCGGUGCCUACUCGCCUUGACAGG